rnacentral:rRNA from 1 species
AGAAUCAACGCUGGCGGCGUGCCUAACACAUGCAAGUCGAACGCGAAAGCCCCGCAAGGGGCAAGUAGAGUGGCAAACGGGUGAGUAACACGUGGGUGACCUGCCUUCGAGUGGGGGAUAACGUCCCGAAAGGGACGCUAAUACCGCAUGACAUCCUGCCUUUGGAGAGGCGGAGAUCAAAGCUGGGGAUCGCAAGACCUAGCGCUUGAAGAGGGGCCCGCGCCUGAUUAGCUAGUUGGUGAGGUAACGGCUCACCAAGGCUACGAUCAGUA